CCUCCUAAAAGGUAACGGAGGCGCUCAAAGGUUCCCUCAGAAUGGUUGGAAAUCAUUCAUAGAGUGUAAAGGCAUAAGGGAGCUUGACUGCGAGACCUACAAGUCGAGCAGGGUCGAAAGACGGACUUAGUGAUCCGGUGGUUCCGCAUGGAAGGGCCAUCGCUCAACGGAUAAAAGCUACCCCGGGGAUAACAGGCUUAUCUCCCCCAAGAGUUCACAUCGACGGGGAGGUUUGGCACCUCGAUGUCGGCUCAUCGCAUCCUGGGGCUGUAGUCGGUCCCAAGGGUUGGGCUGUUCGCCCAUUAAAGCGGUACGCGAGCUGGGUUCAGAACGUCGUGAGACAGUUCGGUCCCUAUCCGUCGUGGGCGUAGGAAAUUUGAGAGGAGCUGUCCUUAGUACGAGAGGACCGGGAUGGACAUACCUCUGGUGUACCAGUUGUCGUGCCAACGGCAUAGCUGGGUAGCUAUGUGUGGACGGGAUAAGUGCUGAAAGCAUCUAAGCAUGAAGCCCCCCUCAAGAUGAGAUUUCCCAACUUCGGUUAUAAGAUCCCUCAAAGAUGAUGAGGUUAAUAGGUUCGAGGUGGAAGCAUGGUGACAUGUGGAGCUGACGAAUACUAAUCGAUCGAAGACUUAAUCAA
rnacentral:rRNA from 1 species